AUCAUUUACUGGGACGAAUUGUACUUCCUCUUGCUUGGCAGCGUUUGGGUCAUAUUUACAGGUAGCAGCAGCAUAAUUUCUGAGUACGCCUAUUCUGUCACAAGACAGCCUUUACGCUCUGCCUUGGCAGGCUAUAUGGCCUACGGUGGUGGAAAACCCCCACAGGCUAGUGGCCAGAUACCUUCUUCCCGUGAACACCCGUCUAGGACGCGUGAGAUCCACUGCAUACCGUGUUCGCACGCAAUGACAUCGAAAAGGAAACUAAACUCGUCCAUAGAUCAAAACGGAAAGAAGGAAGUUAGUUAGUUAGUUAGUAACUCACAGAGCUUUUUGAGCGCAGAGACCAACCAACUGAGACGAAGACCAGGCUUUUUACCCUAAGAAAAUAAACAUGUCUAAAAAAGAAGAUCCCAUUGAGGAGUGUGCGCUGGAGCUGCGCGAAAUCGGGGACAAUUACAACAUGAUGUACUGGCUUGGCAGUGUCUUAGUCAACGGACAAACGGCCCAAGACAGUAAAGCUAAGGCGGACUCCAGCAAUGAUAACAAGACUAAAACACCUCAUAAAUAAAGGUACAGAAAACAACAUGCGAACGGGUCGUGGCAAAUAAAAAAUGUGCCAAUUUGCCAAUUCUGGAUUCCAGACUACACGUCCAGAUUUGGAACCCGCGACGAAGUUGCCUGCUGCAUAAAGGAUUUGAAUUCCCAAACGAUGUUGACUCGGCGGUGGAUGCCAGGCCGUAGGCUGCGUGGAAAGAACUUCGAAAAAGAAACGUUUUGUCCGAGACGGUCUAUUAUUGGGUUUAUGGACUUCUCUGCAGUCUCUAUUUCAGACUCUGUUGUGUGAUUUUAAUUAAGUUAAUGCAAUUUUCAGUGCAUUAUGGGACCAUUUGAACGUUUUGAAAUUUUCUCAACGUAUUGUUGUUAUUAUUUAUUAUUUAUUAUGAUUAUCCAUUAUGUUUAUUAUUAUUGUUGUUGUUCUUAAGCUACUAGGUUGUCGAUAUAAACAUAGUUAAUUCAAUGAA